AAUUCGAUGAUACGCGAGGAACCUUACCUGGGCUAGAACGCAUUCGGAAUCAGGCCGAAAGGCCUGCGCCAGCGAUGGCCGCUUGCGAGGUGCUGCAUGGUUGUCGUCAGCUCGUGCCGUGAGGUGUCGGGUUAAGUCCCAUAACGAGCGCAACCCCUACUGCUAGUUGCCAGCGGGUCAUGCCGGGGACUCUAGCGGAACUGCCAGCGUAAGCUGCGAGGAAGGUGGGGAUGACGUCAAAUCAGCACGGCCCUUACGUCCAGGGCUACACACGUGUUACAAUGGCCGGUACAGAGGGCAGCCACCCCGCGAGGGGGCGCGAAUCCCGAAAGCCGGUCCCAGUUCGGAUCGGAGUCUGCAACCCGACUCCGUGAAGCUGGAUUCGCUAGUAAUCGCGCAUCAGCCACGGCGCGGUGAAUACGUUCCCGGGCCUU
rnacentral:rRNA from 1 species